rnacentral:rRNA from 1 species
AUUGAACGCUGGCGGCAGGCCUAACACAUGCAAGUCGAGCGACCGGCGGACGGGUGAGUAAUGUCUGGGAACCUGCCUGAUGGAGGGGGCUAACUACUGGAAACGGUAGCUAAUCACGCAUACCAUCAGAUGUGCGCAGAUGGGAUUAGCUAGUGGGUGGGGUAAUGGCCCACCUAGGCGACGAUCCCUAGCUGGUCUGAGAGGAUGACCAGCCACACUGGAACUGAGACACGGUCCAGACUCCUACGGGAGGCAGCAGUGGGGAAUAUUGCACAAUGGGCGCAAGCCUGAUGCAGCCAUGCCGCGUGUGUGAAGAAGGCCUUCGGGUUGUAAAGCACUUUCAGCGGGGAGGCGUUACCCGCAGAAUAAGCACCGGCUAACUCCGUGCCAGCAGCCGCGGUAAUUC